UACGGAGGGUGCAAGCGUUAUCCGGAUUCACUGGGCUUAAAGGGUGCGUAGGCGGACAGGUAAGUCAGUGGUGAAAUCUCCGAGCUUAACUCGGAAACUGCCGUUGAUACUAUUUGUCUUGAAUAUUGUGGAGGUAAGCGGAAUAUGUCAUGUAGCGGUGAAAUGCUUAGAUAUGACAUAGAACACCAAUUGCGAAGGCAGCUUACUACACAACGAUUGACGCUGAGGCACGAAAGCGUGGGGAGCAAACAGG
rnacentral:rRNA from 1 species